GUUCCUUCAGAUGGUUCGACUAUUUUAACGCAGAAGCAACAUAACAGAUCCCAAUUCUGUGGUUUAUACACCGUUUGAAGUUAGGGCAUUGACGAUCGCGGUGUGAACAAAUGGGCUCUACCUUUUCGUCGCGAGGCGCAGGCGAGACUCCCGUAAGUUCCUGAAAUAGGGCAGCUUUAUCGCGUGCUCACACCAUGCACCGACGUAGAACAAUUUGAAUUGCUAUCCUUUCUUGGAGGAUCCAAAAUUGGUUGCGGACAUAAGUGAGCUGAAAGCCAGCAUGCAAGAGAUUUCGGAAAUUCUGUGUUGGCAAGCCGUCCCUUUGGACGGCUUAAUUCCUCCUUGUCAAGGAACAGAUGCCAGAACAUCAGAAGACUCGAUUUUGAAACGGUUCUGCCUUCCUUGAGGCACUUCAAUUCACUGGAAAAACCUCGUUAUAAACGUAGCCCAACCAGAAUAACGUGGAAUUCUGAAUCUCGAUCGGAUUAUUCUUACAAGGAACAUCAUCUAAUUGUUAUACAGGGUGUUACCUGUAACGCUACUCAC